rnacentral:rRNA from 1 species
AACGUACGCUGGCGGCACGCCUAACACAUGCAAGUCGAACGCAGUAGCAAUACUGAGUGGCAGACGGGUGAGUAACAUGUGGGAAUCUGCCUUGUGGUUCAGGACAACAUUGGGAAACCGAUGCUAAUACUGGAUAAGCCCUUACGGGGAAAGUUUUAAUGCCAUAAGAUGAGCCCGCAUUUGAUUAGUUAGUUGGUGAGGUAACGGCUCACCAAGACUUCGAUCAGUAGCCGGCCUGAGAGGGCGAUCG